CACUGACCCCAGCCAUCCAGUAGGGACAGGAAGCUCAGAAAGCAGGUAGAAUUCUGUUCUCCCCAACGUCCACAUCUCAGAGGGACAACCCCCCCCUCCACUGGGUCUACCUCCCCUCCCUGUCCCCAUGCCAGGUUAGGGUCCCUCCUUUGUCCCUCUUGCUUCCCAGGCUGCACAGCUGUUCAAGUACCCUGAGGCAGGAAGUCCCUCCCAGAGUCUACCCUCAGCCUCACUUGCCAUUUUCUGUGCUCUCUUCCUCUGGUCUAUUCCCCUAGGCCCAUACUUGGUCCCUGAGGAGUCAGGAAAAGCCUCCACCCUCCACCACUAACCUCCGUCCUCUUCGCAGGCUACUUGCCUCUCAGUGGCUAUGGACCUGGAGCAGAAUUGAGUGAGACGGUCCUUGUCUGCCUGCCAGUCUCCCUUCAGACCCUUCUUCACCCACUUCCACUUGUUCACCGCCUUCCCACUGCCAGCCCAGGAAGAGGGUUAGCAAAGGCUGAGCCAGCUCUGACCCAGUCUCCUCUCCCCACGUUUUGGUGGUGACCUCAUGCUGCAGAAAGUAGGGACCUAUGGACAGCUGCGGCCUGCCCUGGGCCCAGGGCCCUUUGGGAGCCCUGACAUGAAGAGAGGCAGCAAUGGCCAGUUGGAAGCCAGUUACGCAGGUGAGAGGGAGCCACAGCAGCCUACCUGUCCCACACUGAAGGGUCACCAUUGUCACCCCUCUAGCUCCACUGGAGGGUGCCCGAAGUCCUUGGGUGGGAAAGCAGCCUCUCAGCACCUGCAGAGGACUACUGAGGGAUGAAUUCAGGGACCAGAGGAGAGGGAGCUGGGACUAGGGAGGGGCAGGCCCCCGUGGGGCCCUGGAUCUGAGCUCUGCCUCUUCCCAGGCCGCUGCCCUCUUGGGAAAUGCUGAGCACCUGAGCUGUCUCCUGCCCAUUGGAGAGCCCCAAAACAGUGGGCUUUGCUGGAGCAAGGAAGGCAGGACGUUGGGGCUUGGCCUCUGAUGGUGCCUAUCCUGGGUCUCCUCUGGGCUGAAGUAUCAAUAAAUGGAAUCUGUUUCCACUUGCCUCUGUGUACCACUGCAGUGAGGGUAGCAGGGGCUGGCAACCACUACCCAGCACCCCAUUCAUUUAUUCAUUCACAAACACCAGUGUGGCUGUGUGCCAGGGGCCGUGCAUCUAGAUGGGUGACAUUGUGAAAACAAAUCAAAGACCAGUGAGGGAACCAAUCUAAGUUAGGGGACUUGUGUAUGGAAAAAAG
rnacentral:lncRNA from 1 species